AGAAGCUAAAGCUAAGAAUAAUAAUAAAAAUGAUAUCUUUGUGUUGAUUGUGCAGUGUUUGUCAGAGAAUACGUAGGGGAUGAUGAGACUGAGUUGAGUUUUCCUUUUCAUUUUGUUUGAAUAUUAGUUGGUGAGUCAAGUGGGAAAGCUGCGUAUGAAAAAUGAAAAAUCUUGAAACGGAAAAACCAAGAAAAAGAAAAUGGAUUGCAACACUAGG
rnacentral:misc_RNA from 1 species